GCAUCGCUAGAUGUCGGGAGACUAGGCUACUUUACUACACAGGAGGAGUAGGGGGAGGAGGAGGAGAAAGAGGAAAAAGGAAGUGCAGGAGGGGGGAAAAGGAAGUGGAGGAGGGGAAAAAAAGCACGGGAGAAGGAGAAAAAGUAGGAGAGGAGGAGAAAAGGAGGAGGAGAGACAAAGGAGAAGGACGAGGAGAAAGAGGAGAAAAGGAGGCGGAGGAGGAGAAAAGGAGGCGGAGGAGGAGAAAAAGGAGGCGGAGGAGGAGAAAAAGGAGGCGGAGGAGGAGAAAAAGGAGGAGGGGAAGAGGGGAGGAGCAGGAGGAGGAGAAGAGCAGAAGGAGGAGGAGAAAAAGGAGGAGGGGAGGAGCAGGAGGAGGAGGAAAAAGGAGAGAGGAGAAGAAGAAAGAGCAAGAGGAAAACCAUGGGACCAUAAGGAAAGGGCGGAAUAGGCCUCUGCGUGCGUGUGACUGCCCGCUCCCUCCUCCUCCUUUUCUUCCUCUUCCCUUCCUUUCUCCUCCUCCUCUUCCCUUCCUUUCUCCUCCUCCUCUUCCCUUCCUUUCUCCUCCUCCUCUUCCCCUCCUUUCUCCUCCUCCUCCUGCCCCCCUGCCCCUCGGAGGGUGGAGAUCCUCCUGCCACUCAGCUCCCUCUCUCUAAUCCUACAGGUGUCAGUGGCUGCAGCCCCUCUCUGCAGGCCAUCCUGUUGCUCCCCCCUCGCCCUUCCUCCUCCUCCUCCUCCUCCCCCCGCCCCGUGCUCCCGCUCCCCCUCCCCGGCUGCACAUGGGCCGGGCCGGGGCCGGGGCGCGCUGAGCCUGUGCGGAGCCCUCGGGCGGCGUUGGGCAGCCAUUACUUAGAUCGGGAGAUCUCGGCCUCCUUGGAUCCAUGCGGGGAGGGGGUCUCACACACACACACAUAUCCCCCCUCCCCUCCGACGGAUACACACACACACAGGAGAGGGCGAGCUGGGCUCCGGGUGGCCUGGGUUCCGGACGGGCAGGUGAGCGACCACCCCCUCCCCAGCUCCCUGCCCCAAGCCAGCCCGAGGCUCCCGGCCUGCAGACCGGCCCCUAAUAAUAAUGAGGAUGAGGAUGGCAUUUGUUAAGCGCUUAAGAUGUACCAGGUACUGUGCCAGGUACUGUACAAAGCCCUGGGCACCCGUAGUCUCCGGCCUGCGACUCCUGGCCCGUAGCCCCCAGCCUGCAGGGCCUGGCUUGUAGCCCCC
rnacentral:lncRNA from 1 species